AGAGUUUGAUUAUGGCUCAGAGUGAACGCUGGCGGUAGGCCUAACACAUGCAAGUCGAAUGGCAGCACAGAGGAGCUUGCUCCUUGGGUGGCGAGUGGCGGACGGGUGAGGAAUACAUCGGAAUCUACUCUGUCGUGGGGGAUAACGUAGGGAAACUUACGCUAAUACCGCAUACGACCUACGGGUGAAAGCAGGGGAUCUUCGGACCCUGCGCGAUUGAAUGAGCCGAUGUCGGAUUAGCUAGUUGGCGGGGUAAAGGCCCACCAAGGCGACGAUCCGUAGCUGGUCUGAGAGGAUGAUCAGCCACACUGGAACUGAGACACGGUCCAGACUCCUACGGGAGGCAGCAGUGGGGAAUAUUGGACAAUGGGCGCAAGCCUGAUCCAGCCAUACCGCGUGGGUGAAMAAGGCCUUCGGGUUGUAAGCCCUUUUGUUGGGAAAGAAAUCC
rnacentral:rRNA from 1 species